AGAGUUUGAUCAUGGCUCAGAACGAACGCUGGCGGCAUGCCUAACACAUGCAAGUCGAACGAGACCUUCGGGUCUAGUGGCGCACGGGUGCGUAACGCGUGGGAUCUGCCCUUAGGUUCGGAAUAACAGUUAGAAAUGACUGCUAAUACCGGAUGAUGACUUCGGUCCAAAGAUUUAUCGCCUAAGGAUGAGCCCGCGUAGGAUUAGCUUGUUGGUGAGGUAAAGGCUCACCAAGGCUACGAUCCUUAGCUGGUCUGAGAGGAUGAUCAGCCACACUGGGACUGAGACACGGCCCAGACUCCUACGGGAGGCAGCAGUGGGGAAUAUUGGACAAUGGGCGAAAGCCUGAUCCAGCAAUGCCGCGUGAGUGAUGAAGGCCUUAGGGUUGUAAAGCUCUUUUACCCGGGAUGAUAAUGACCGUACCGGGAGAAUAAGCUCCGGCUAACUCCGUGCCAGCAGCCGCGGUAAUACGGAGGGAGCUAGCGUUGUUCGGAAUUACUGGGCGUAAAGCGCACGUAGGCGGCUUUGUAAGUUAGGGGUGAAAGCCCGGAGCUCAACUCCGGAAUUGCCUUUAAGACUGCAUCGCUUGAAUCCGGGAGAGGUGAGUGGAAUUCCGAGUGUAGAGGUGAAAUUCGUAGAUAUUCGGAAGAACACCAGUGGCGAAGGCGGCUCACUGGACCGGUAUUGACGCUGAGGUGCGAAAGCGUGGGGAGAAACAGGAUUAGAUACCCCAGUAGUCC
rnacentral:rRNA from 1 species